UUGUUUCUCUCUUUCCCACCAGGCACUUCCCUAAGCAGUGCUGCUUAUCUAAUUCUGUGCUUACUUAGAAAUUCCAGGGGCCAAUUUUGAAACAAACCAGGCAGAGACCCAGCUGUAGAAUCCUCCCACUUGGGGGAGUUACAGGUAGCCCACAGCUUCCAGGCUGAGGUCAGGAUGACAGCCAAGCUGACCUGGGGACAGGCCAGUGAUGACUCAGGACCAUCAGAACAGGAUGCAGCCCAACAGGCAUCACCGUCAGAAGGAACACGGCCAUCCAGAGAAACACACCAGGCCACAAAGCACUGGGGACCAGGGAUCGUGCCCCUCCCAUCCGCCAGGGGCUGACCCCCAGCCUCCAACCCUACCAUCUCCUGACGGCAUCUGCACCGCUGGAACCCAACCGGAAUCUAAAAGAACACAGUUGGCAGACGAGACUGGGACACAGGCAUUUUCUUCAAGGAUUGAGCCAGCAGCGCCAGUGUCGUAAGGUGCUUAGGUGAUUCACAAACAGCCAGUGAAAUACAAGGUGCCUGGGAUACCGUCAACAAAAACAGGAAACAGACACAUCUUCCUGCUGAUGUAGAGACUCCAGCCUGUCUGCCGGUCUCUGUUCCUGAAGAGCCCAGGCCCCACCCUUUCCUGCCCGGGGGCAUGGGAGGCAUGGGGGGGUU
rnacentral:lncRNA from 13 species